rnacentral:Y_RNA from 1 species
AGUUGGUCCGAUGACGGUGGGGUUUCAAUUGAUUGCUACAGUGAGUUACAGAACCUCCACGUUUCUUCUCUCCCCUCCUUCACCGUCGGUAUUGACCAGCUUUUU